rnacentral:tRNA from 1 species
GCUAUAAUAGUUUAAUUAGAAUUUAUAACUUGUAAUUAUAAGGUAGUGGUAGCU